AGAGUUUGAUCAUGGCUCAGAUUGAACGCUGGCGGUAUGCUUAACACAUGCAAGUCGAACGGAAACGAUACUAGCUUGCUAGUAGGCGUCGAGUGGCGGACGGGUGAGUAACGCGUAGGAAUCUGCCUGAUAGUGGGGGAUAGCCCGGAGAAAUUCGGAUUAAUACCGCAUAAUCUAUUCGUAGUAAAGUGGGGGACUUUCGAGCCUCACGCUAUCAGAUGAGCCUGCGUAAGAUUAGCUUGUUGGUAGGGUAAAAGCCUACCAAGGCGACGAUCUUUAGCUGGUCUGAGAGGAUGAUCAGCCACAUCGGGACUGAGACACGGCCCGAACUCCUACGGGAGGCAGCAGUGGGGAAUAUUGGACAAUGGGGGCAACCCUGAUCCAGCAAUACCGCGUGUGUGAAGAAGGCCUGAGGGUUGUAAAGCACUUUCAAUUGUGAAGAAAAGUUAACGGUUAAUAACCGUUAGCCUUGACGUUAACUUUAGAAGAAGCACCGGCUAACUCCGUGCCAGCAGCCGCGGUAAUACGGAGGGUGCAAGCGUUAAUCGGAAUUACUGGGCGUAAAGCGUGCGUAGGUGGUUUAUUAAGUCAGAUGUGAAAGCCCCGGGCUUAACCUGGGAACUGCAUUUGAAACUGGUAAACUAGAGUAUGGUAGAGGAAAGUGGAAUUUCUGGUGUAGCGGUGAAAUGCGUAGAUAUCAGAAGGAACAUCAAUGGCGAAGGCAGCUUUCUGGACCAAUACUGACACUGAGGUACGAAAGCGUGGGUAGCAAACAGGAUUAGAUACCCUGGUAGUCCACGCCGUAAACGAUGAUAACUAGCCGUUGGGGGGAUUUACCCUUUAGUGGCGAAGCUAACGCGUUAAGUUAUCCGCCUGGGGAGUACGGCCGCAAGGUUAAAACUCAAAGGAAUUGACGGGGACCCGCACAAGCGGUGGAGCAUGUGGUUUAAUUCGAUGCAACGCGAAGAACCUUACCUGGUCUUGACAUCCUGCGAACUUUCUAGAAAUAGAUUGGUGCCUUCGGGAACGCAGUGACAGGUGCUGCAUGGCUGUCGUCAGCUCGUGUCGUGAGAUGUUGGGUUAAGUCCCGUAACGAGCGCAACCCCUAUCCUUAUUUGCCAGCACAUUAUGGUGGGAACUAUAAGGAGACUGCCGGUGAUAAACCGGAGGAAGGCGGGGACGACGUCAAGUCAUCAUGGCCCUUACGACCAGGGCUACACACGUGCUACAAUGGGAAGGACAAAGAGCCGCGAAGCCGCGAGGUGUAGCUAAUCUCAUAAAUCUUUUCGUAGUCCGGAUUGGAGUCUGCAACUCGACUCCAUGAAGUCGGAAUCGCUAGUAAUCGUAGAUCAGAAUGCUACGGUGAAUACGUUCCCGGGUCUUGUACACACCGCCCGUCAUACCAUGGGAGUGGGUUGCACCAGAAGUGGCUAGUCUAACUUAGUGAGGACGGUCACCACGGUGUGAUUCAUGACUGGGGUAAAGUCGUAACAAGGUA
rnacentral:rRNA from 1 species